AACCCUUCAUCUUCUCCACAACUUUUCUGCAAAUGUAAAUAUCUCUCCACAUAAAUAUAUCAUCUCUUCGCCUUUAGUUUCCUCUCUUCGACUUCAUUCUUCUCUCAUACACUACACUUUCCUCGUGUUUGAUUGAAACACUUGAUUCGGAGAUUUUUAACCUAGAUUUUUUUUUUUUUUUGGGCGAAACCUAGAUUUUUAUUUGGGGUUAAUUUUUGAGUAGGAGUUUCGGGUUAGCAAUUUUUGUUGGAUCUGGGCUAUUAAUUAAUGGUUCAAGAGACAUAACCGGAUUCUAAUCGGGUCUUUCAUUGGUUUAAAACAGUCUUUCAUUAGUUUAAAACCGGAUAAAUGAUAUCUUCUGUUUAAUUUGAAUAC
rnacentral:lncRNA from 1 species